GGAAAAGUCGUAACAAGGUUUCCGUAGGUGAACCUGCGGAAGGAUCAUUCAUAAUAAGUGUUUUAUGGCACUUUUUUAAAUCCAUAUCCACCUUGUGUGCAAUGUCAGGGUUGAUUUUUCUCUCGAGAGGAUCAACCCCAAACAUCAACUAUAUCUCAACUCUUUGUCUGAAAAAUAUUAUGAAUAAAACAAUUCAAAAUACAACUUUCAACAACGGAUCUCUUGGCUCUC
rnacentral:misc_RNA from 1 species